GAUAAACGCUAGCGGCGUGCAUUAUGCAUGCAAGUCGAACGGUCUAUCGCAAGAUAGACAGUGGCAAACGGCUGAGUAACACGUAAGUAAUCUGUCCUUAAGUGGGGAAUAAUUCACCGAAAGGUGGACUAAUACCGCAUGUGGUGAUGAAAUCAGAUUUUUAUCACUAAAGCUUUCGGGCGCUUGAGGAGGGGCUUGCGUCCUAUCAGGUAGUUGGUGGGGUAACGGCUCACCAAGCCAACGACGGGUAGCUGGUCUGAGAGGACAUCCAGCCAGACGGGGACUGAGACACGGCCCCGACUCCUACGGGAGGCAGCAGCAAGGAAUUUUGCGCAAUGGGCGAAAGCCUGACGCAGCAACGCCGCGUGAGGGAAGAAGGCCUUCGGGUUGUAAACCUCUUUUAUUAGGGAAGAAUAAUGACGGUACCUGAUGAAUAAGUCACGGCUAACUACGUGCCAGCCGCCGCGGUAACAC
rnacentral:rRNA from 1 species